GGAAGCGUAGCAAAGUUGGUCUAUGCGUUGGACUAAAAAUCCAAAGAUGGUGGCUUGUUUCCACCCGCUUCCA
rnacentral:tRNA from 1 species